GGGGAUGUGGCUCGGUGGUAGAGUGCUUGCCUAGCAUGCAUGAAGCCCAGGGUUCAAUUCCUCAGUACCA
rnacentral:tRNA from 1 species